AAAUAAAAAUAAUUUUUAUUAAUUUAAUUUUUUAUUAAAUACAUUUGGACUCUCAGCCGAACUUGCAGGAAGAACCAAAUUGGUCUCUUAUUUUCUCCUAUUUUUUAUUUAUUUGUUUUAUAAAACACUUCUUAAACUUUCAAGCAACUUUUCUUAUUUUUAUUUCUCCUAUUUAUAUUUUAUUUUUAUUAAUAAAAACCUUGGGCUCUUACGGAAAGUCCCCUCCGUCUGGAAACACCAAAAUCCCCCACUUCGAAAGCCAUAUCUUGGAAAAAAGCUAUAAGAAACUAAACCAAUUAUAAUACCAGCAAAAUCCUGUAAAAGACUUUCACUCUAGAUGAAAAAGGAUAUAUCCUUUCUAGUAAUAUGCCCGCCCCUCAUCUUAUUAAUCGCUUCCCGAGGAAAACUGCAUUAGACGCCCAUUUGGUGGCCCGGGAAUGGCCACUCGGAAUAAGAAGUUGAAAAGGAGCUCCUCUUUCUAAUCCUUGCCACGCCCAGUGAGGCGAGCGGAAGGAUCUCCUCCUCGUGAAUGGAAAUGGAAAUCCUGUGAGAGCUGGCCGAAUGGGUUUCUACUAAAUUUUUAAGUGUAUCAGCGCCCACACAAUUACGCAGCCAGCUGGCCACGCCCCCGAUUUAGGGAGGUAGCCAGGGGGGUGUGGCUGGGAAGGAUGAAGUGAAGAAUGGCAGGAUAGCAGGAUUGCAGGAUUGCAUUAUGAAUAUGCAGAGAAAAUAGUCAGCCUGGAUGAUUAGGUUGACACGUUCCGGGGAACGAUCCUUUCGAGUUUCGAGUCCUUUGUGGCAACACUGAAAGAAAUUAGAG